UAUAUUGGUUGGACACUUGUUGGGUCUUUCAGAAGGUCAUCAUGAUAGGUCCCUUUUGGGGGGCACUCAGUAAUACUGUCAGAGCAUAAUCCAACAGAAAGACAGACCAGCAAGUGAGGCUUGCUAUCCCACAGUCAAAACUCUGACCCAUAAUUGUUUCUGUCUGAAAGAACUUCAGUGAUGGAAAUGGAGAGGAGACCGAGGAAAAGAUCGUCCAGCGACAUGCCCAAAGUGGGAUCCAGCUCAAGGGGAGUCCCCAAGGCCUGACACGAUUACUGAGGCUAAGGAUGGAUCCAACAAAUGAUUCAAUGAAGCUUCAGGAAGUCUCAAAGCAAUACCAUAGAAUCUCAAGGUUUUUUUGUGACUAUAUAAGAGGUUUAAACUUUACACUGGAAGAGUUACUGGAAGAAAAAGGACAGCAAGAUUGGCAACUUCAAAGAAAAAAGUCUGAAAGAAUCUAGACUUGCAAGAGAUGUGAACACACUUAUUGAAGAAGUAGAAGGAUGCUUCAGCAGAGAAGUCAGACAAGUAGACACUAAGACAUGCCAUAGUCAUUUUAGAACACCAAAGCUCAAAGAAAAAGUAUUGGAUGCCCUUGAGAAGAAACACCUUGCCUGCAGGAUAAAAGCAACUUGAAAAAUCAGUGACAUGACCAUCAAAAGCCAUAGGUGACAGAGGGAGGUGGAACAACAAUUUUCAAGUUCUUAAUGGAAAGGACAGCCACCUCAGGAGCUCUGUCUACUGAAAAAUACUUUUAAAAACAUGACAUUUCCAGGUGACAGAAAAAUGUGACAAUACUCUACCAACUGAUACAUUAUGGAAUUUGCAAGAGACAAAAAACACUUUCAUAUCAAAGGAACAGAAUAAAAGUUAACUUUAAAAAGUUU